GAUGAACGCUGGCGGCGUGCCUAAUACAUGCAAGUCGAGCGAACGGACGAGAAGCUUGCUUCUCUGAUGUUAGCGGCGGACGGGUGAGUAACACGUGGAUAACCUACCUAUAAGACUGGGAUAACUUCGGGAAACCGGAGCUAAUACCGGAUGAUAUUUUGAACCGCUUGGUUCAAAAGUGAAAGACGGUCUUGCUGUCACUUAUAGAUGGAUCCGCGCUGCAUUAGCUAGUUGGUAAGGUAACGGCUUACCAAGGCAACGAUGCAUAGCCGACCUGAGAGGAUGAUCGGCCACACUGGAACUGAGACGAGGUCCAGACUCCUACGGGAGGCAUCAGUAGGGAAUCUUCCGCAAUGGGCGAAAGCCUAACGGAGCAACGCCGCGUGAGUGAUGAAGGUCUUCGGAUCGUAAAACUCUGUUAUUAGGGAAGAACAAAUGUGUAAGUAACUGUGCACAACUUGACGGUACCUAAUCAGAAAGCCACGGCUAACUACGUG
rnacentral:rRNA from 1 species